rnacentral:rRNA from 1 species
AUUGAACGCUGGCGGCAUGCCUUACACAUGCAAGUCGAACGGCAGCACGGGUGCUUGCGCCUGGUGGCGAGUGGCGAACGGGUGAGUAAUACAUCGGAACGUACCUUAUCGUGGGGGAUAACGCAGCGAAAGCUGUGCUAAUACCGCAUACGCCCUGAGGGGGAAAGCGGGGGAUUGCAAGACCUCGCGCGAUUAGAGCGGCCGAUGCCUGAUUAGCUUGUUGGUGGGGUAAAAGCCCACCAAGGCGACGAUCAGGAGCUGGUCUGAGAGGACGAUCAGCCACACUGGGACUGAGACACGGCCCAGACUCCUACGGGAGGCAGCAGUGGGGAAUUUUGGACAAUGGGGGCAACCCUGAUCCAGCAAUGCCGCGUGAGUGAAGAAGGCCUUCGGGUUGUAAAGCUCUUUUGUCAGGGAAGAAACACCGGCUCUAACACAGUCCGGGAAUGACGGUACCUGAAGAAUAAGCACCGGCUAACUACGUGCCAGCCGCCGCGGUAA